UACGGGGGGGGCAAGCGUUGUUCGGAAUUACUGGGCGUAAAGGGCUCGUAGGCGGCCAACUAAGUCAGACGUGAAAUCCCUCAGCUUAACCGGGGAACUGCGUCUGAUACUGGAUGGCUAGAGUGUGGGAGAGGGAUGCGGAAUUCCAGGUGUAGCGGUGAAAUGCGUAGAUAUCUGGAGGAACACCGGUGGCGAAGGCGGCAUCCUGGACCACGACUGACACUGAAAAGCGAAAGCCAGGGGAGCAAACGGG
rnacentral:rRNA from 1 species